AAGUCGUAACAAGGUUUCCGUAGGUGAACCUGCGGAAGGAUCAUUACCGAGAUAGGGUGCCGGCCUAAACCCCGCCGGCCGCGCACUCCAAACCCAUUGUCUACAAUACCUUUGUUGCCUCGGCGGGUCGUCGAGCGCCUAGCGAUAGGCCUCGCCGUCGGCUCCUAGGAGCCCUCGUGCCCCCGCCGCAGGAGCGAACUGAAAUCAACCAUUGUGACACCCGCUCUGAGUGAAAUUAUAAUACUUCAAAA
rnacentral:misc_RNA from 1 species